GCCUGCACCGCUGCCUGCCUCCCUGCCUGCCUCCCUGCCCCCUGCCUGCACUCCUGCCUGCCUCCUUGCCAGCCUGCCUGCGCCCCUGCCUGCCUGCGCCCCUGCCUGCCUGCGCCCCUGCCUGCCUGCGCCCCUGCCUGCAUGCUGUGCAGUUCUCCAGCGCCGCCGGCAUGGUGUGGGCUGUGGUGGCUGCAGGAUACCCUCCUCCUGCUCCUCCUGCUCCUCCUGCUCCUCCUCCUGUUACCCGGCUGGAGGGAGGGUGGCAGCCCCCCAGCGAAGGUGCUGCCCAGCAGCAUCCUGGGGCUCCUGGGGGGGCCAGGGCCGGCUGCGGGUCAGGAGCUGUGGCUGGCCGUGGCCGUGGCCGUGGCCGUGCUGGGAUGGCAGCAAGGAAGCGUUGCCCACAGGGGUCUUCAUGGCAUCGGCCCCAUCGCUCCCUCCACGUGCUGGGGUCCGGCCAGUGCUGCCAACACGUGGGUGCACGCAGAGCCUCAGCACCCAUCACCCUGCGCCGGCCAUGCCGUGUUCUAGUGUGCCGCGGUGACAGAGGGACAGACCAGGGUGGAAAAAAUGAGUGGAAAAAGGCAAAAAGACAUGGUCCAUCUUGUUUCCAGUAGGUUUAGAUGUUGAAGGAUCCAUUGGAGAGAAACAUCUUCCUUUGUGCUCAUGCGAUGCCGGGGGCCUUACACAUUGUGUGUAGUACCGUGGUGCCCCGGCUUAACCACAGCUCUUAGUCACCUUAUGUAACAUUAGCAAUUUCUUCAUCUCUCUUUCUUUUUUUUUCAUUUUUUCGUUUUGUUUUUUUUUCCCCUCGCAGGCAGAUCAGAUGAAGCAAGUUUAUCCCCAGUCUGAAAUGGAAUGUUUUCUGAAGCGGGCAGCACGGCCCUUGCGGGCUCAUGGGGUUUUCCUGUGGGAAGAGCCAGUGGAGCCGAUGCGGUGACAUCCCCCCAGGAUGGGGAUGCUGUCCAGAUCAGAAGCGCAGCUGUACGCUGGGGUGUGGUAGGUGGGGACCCCCUUCUGUACAUAGGGACCCUAAGCCCCUAAGGAAAAGAUCGACCUUCCUAAAGCAGUGCUUUACAUUAAAUAUAUGUUUCAUUAUAGGAACACUGGAGGAAUAAAAAACAUGUAAGUGCUAAGAAAUAUGCGCUCUAAAAACCUUACGGCUAAACAAGUGCCAAGGAUGUUUGUUCACACACCAGCGGAACACUGAUGGCAAAGGGAUAAAAUCCAGUGAAAAGGCUGCGCGGAGAGUGUGUCCGGGAUCAUGAGCAGCGCUACCGCUCCCAGUGCCCUUUUCCCUUGGGCUGGAAAAUGUGUCUUGCUGCUGACUUUCACACCAUGUCCUCGUGCUGCCCCGUCUGCCAGCCGGCCCCGUGCGGCUGAGCUCGCACUGGGCUGGCGUCGCUCGGGGAUUUUGCCAUUUGUAGCUGUAAGGAGUCUUAAGGAGGUUGUAACCCUCAAUUAGGGAUCUGUGUAACUUUCUAAUGAUGGGAGUGAUUGCGGGGUGAGGGAAAUGUGCUGCUGUACGUGGUCCUUCCUGCCAAACUUGCUGCCAGAGCAGAUCCUUAUAGCCCAGCAAUAAAUCCCCCAAAUGAAAGGUUUACGAUGGAAAUUCUGACAAACCCUUAACUAACACAUUACAAAUGGCAGCUUUAAAAUUCAGUAGCUAUAAGCUAAAUUAGCAGGAGUGGGGGCAGCCUUCGAGGAUUGCUGUAGCGAGCCAGCCGUGGCCCGGAGGCCUUGCCUUGAUAAAGAUGUGCAGCAACGCUAUAGCUUUUAAUUGGCUUUUAAUGUUUGUAACAAACUUUUGUUGGUCUAAUUUGCAGGUGCAAAAUGAGGGAUGCUCCUUUGGUUUUCCACAAAGUUUUUGACCAUCCCUCGGGAAGGAUUCACCCUCCUCCUGCCCAGUAACAGGCUCAGAUGCCCAUCUCUGCUGCUCAAAUCGCCUCCUCCUCCGGUCAGCGGUGCUUCCAAGCUGUGGAAAAGGACGUUUCUCUUCCAAUGGCUUGUUAAAUACAUUUUUUAAACACUA